rnacentral:rRNA from 1 species
GGGAGCCCUAGCACAGGUGCUGCAUGGCCGUCGUCAGCUCGUGCCGUGAGGUGUUGGGUUAAGUCCCGCAACGAGCGCAACCCCCGCCGUUAGUUGCCAGCGGUUCGGCCGGGCACUCUAACGGGACUGCCCGCGAAAGCGGGAGGAAGGAGGGGACGACGUCUGGUCAGCAUGGCCCUUACGGCCUGGGCGACACACGUGCUACAAUGCCCACUACAAAGCGAUGCCACCCGGCAACGGGGAGCUAAUCGCAAAAAGGUGGGCCCAGUUCGGAUUGGGGUCUGCAACCCGACCCCAUGAAGCCGGAAUCGCUAGUAAUCGCGGAUCAGCCAUGCCGCGGUGAAUACGUUCCCGGGCCUU